ACCCUAAACCCUAAACCCUAAACCCUAAACCCUAAACCCUAAACCCUAAACCGUGAAACCCUAAACCCUAACCUAAACCCUAAAAACCCUAAACCCUAAACCGCGUAAACCCUAAACCCUAAACCCUAAAACCCUAAAACCCUAAGAACCCUAAAACCUAAACCCUAAACCCUAAACCCUAAAACCCUAAACCCUUAAACCCAAACCCUAAACCCUAAACCCUAAAACCCUAACCCUAAACCGCUAAACCCAAAACCCUAAACCCUAAACCCUAAACCCUAAACCCUAAACCCUAAACCUAAACCCUAAAACCCUAAACCUAAAACCCUAAACCUUAAACCCCUAAACCGCUAAACCCGCUGAAACCCUGAAACCGCUCAAACCUAAACCCUAAACCGUAAAACCCUAAACCCUUGAAACCCUAAAACCAAACCUAAACCCUAAACCUAAACCCUGAAACCCUAAGACCUAAACCCAAAACCUAAACCCUAAACCCUAGACCCGUAACACGAAACCCUAAAACCCUAAACCCUAAACCCUAAACCCUAAGACCCUAACCCUAAACCCUAAAACCCUAAACCCUUAAACCCUAAAACCCUAAACCCCCUAAACCUAAACCCUAAACCCUAAACCCCUAACCCUAAACCUAAACCCUACAACCCUAAACGCCGUUAAACCUAAACCAACCUAAAGCCCUAAAACCCGUAAACCCUAAAACCUAAAACCCUAACCCUAAAGCCCUAAACCAAACCCUACAAACCUAAACACCUAAACCCUAAACCUUAAACCCUAAACCUAAACCUAAACCCUAAACCCUAAUACCCUAAAACCUCCUACCCUAAACCCUAACACCCUAACCAAACCCUAAACCCUAAACCCUAAACCUAAACCCUAAACCACUAGAACCCUAAACCUUAAAAACCCUAAACCCUACACCCUAACCCUAAACCCUAAACCUAAACCCUAAACCUAACUAACCCUAAACCCUAAACCUAAACCGCUAACCUAAACCCUAAACCCUAAACCUAAACCUACCAUAGCCCUAAACCUAACUAAAACCCUAACGCAAACCCUAAACCCUAAACCCUAAAAACCCUAAAACCUAAACCCUAAACCUAAACCCUAAACCCAAACCACCUAAAGCCUAACACCAAACCCUAACUAACCCUAAACUCAACGCCUAAAACCCUAAACCCUAACAAACCCUAACCCACCUAAACCCUGUAUAACCAAACCCUAAACCCUAAAACCCUAAAACCACCCUAAACUCCUAAAACCCUAAACCCUAAACUAACCUAGAACAAAACCCUACCAAACCUAACCAUAAACCCUAAACCCUACCUAAAACCCUAAAACCUAAACCCUAAACCCUAAAACCCUAAACUCCUAAACCCUAAACCCUAAACCCUCCUAAACCCUAAAACCCUAAACCCCUAACCCUAAACCCUAAACCCUAAACCCUAAACCAACUAAACCCUAAACCCUAUAACCAAACCCUAAACCCUAAACCGCCUAAAACCCUAAACCCUAAACCCUAAACCCUAAACCCUAAAGCCCUAAACCCUAAUACCCUAAACCCUAAGACCCUAAACCACCUAAACCACUAAACCCUAAACACCUAAACCCUAAACCCGUAAACCCUAAACCUACUAAACCCGUAAACCCUAAACCCUAAACCCUAAACCCUAAAACCUAAACCCUCUAAAAGCCCACUAUUAAGACCCUAAACCCUACCCUAACCCUGAAACCUAAACCCUAAACCCUAAAACCUAAACAACGCUAAACCUAAACCCCUAAAACCGCAAACCCUAAACUCUUAAACCCUAACCAUAAACCGCUAAACCUAAACCCUAAACUCCUAAACCCUAAACCCUCAAACUCCUAAAACCCUAACCUAAACCUGACACCUAAACCCUUAAAACCUCUAUAACCCUAAAACCCCUAAACCCUAAACCCUCAAACCCAAACCCUAAACCUGCAAAACCCUAAACCCUUAACCCUAACCCUAAACCCUAAACCUAACAACCUAAACCCUAAAACCUAAACCCUAAACCCUAACCCUAAACCCCUAAACCCCUAAACCCUAAACCCUAAACCCUAAACCCUAAACCCUAAACCCUAACCCUAAAACCUAAACCUACAACCCUAAAGACCCUAAACCCUAAACAAACCCUACUAAACCCUAAACCCUAAACCAAACCCUAAAACCCUAAACCUAAAACGCCUAAACCUAAACCCAAAACCCUAAACCGCUAAACCCUUAACCCUAAACCCUAAACCCUAACCAAGACCCUAAACCGCUAAACCCUAAACCCUAAACCGCUAAAUUCCCUAAAUCCCUGAAACCCUAAACCCUAUAACCUAAACCUAACACCUAAACCUAAACUCCUAAACCUAAACCUAACCCUAAACCCUAAACCUAAACCUAAACCUAAACCCUAAACGCCUAAACCCUAACCCUAAACCCUAAACCUAAACCCCUAAAACCCUAAACCCUAAA
rnacentral:lncRNA from 1 species